UCUCGGUCAGGGUAAAACCACAAUUCA
rnacentral:sRNA from 1 species